rnacentral:rRNA from 1 species
UAGGGAAUCUUCGGCAAUGGACGAAAGUCUGACCGAGCAACGCCGCGUGAGUGAAGAAGGUUUUCGGAUCGUAAAACUCUGUUGUUAGAGAAGAACAAGGACGUUAGUAACUGAACGUCCCCUGACGGUAUCUAACCAGAAAGCCACGGCUAACUACGUGCCAGCAGCCGCGGUAAUACGUAGGUGGCAAGCGUUGUCCGGAUCUAUUGGGCGUAAAGCGAGCGCAGGCGGUUUCUUAAGUCUGAUGUGAAAGCCCCCGGCUCAACCGGGGAGGGUCAUUGGAAACUGGGAGACUUGAGUGCAGAAGAGGAGAGUGGAAUUCCAUGUGUAGCGGUGAAAUGCGUAGAUAUAUGAAGGAACACCAGUGGCGAAGGCGGCUCUCUGGUCUGUAACUGACACUGAGGCUAGAAAGCGUGGGGAGCAAACAGG